rnacentral:rRNA from 1 species
UACGAAGGGGGCUAGCGUUGCUCGGAAUUACUGGGCGUAAAGCGCACGUAGGCGGAUUGUUAAGUCGGGGGUGAAAUCCUGGAGCUCAACUCCAGAACUGCCUCCGAAACUGGCGAUCUUGAGUUCGGGAGAGGUGAGUGGAACUGCGAGUGUAGAGGUGAAAUUCGCAGAUAUUCGGAGGAAUACCAACGGCGAAGGCAGCUAACUGGACAAUUAUUGACGCUGAGGCACGAAAGCGUGGGUAGCAAACAGG